UUGUACAUGGGAUCAGUAGG
rnacentral:piRNA from 1 species